rnacentral:piRNA from 1 species
AUCUACAAGAAAUCCAUGCAUGUGGGUUGC